GCCCCUCCUGCUUACACGCUUAGUCAUAAUUACUUACCUCAGCGGCACCAGCCGUGUGGUAGGAGCUUAGCUGAACAGAGAGGAGAAUCAGCAGGCACAUCACCUUGAGUUUGACCUGUCAGCCAGAUUUCACAGCACCUGCCUGGUUAGCCCGAGGGCUGUGAUUCACCCCCUCAGGAAAGGAGCUGUGAGGUCCUGUCCUGGAGCAGAAACCCCUCCUGGAGGAUAGUUGGAGAGAUAGUGAUGAAUCAGGCAUCUCUAGCUAUUAGCAUGCCUGCCAUGCUCGCCCCACGUGUGGAAGGCUACCAGGAAGAGGAGAUGGCAGGCUUGUUAAAGGAGAGAAAAAUGAGGGCCUUUUCAUGAGGUCAGGUGACUUCUGAGGUUGGAUCAGCUGGCCAGCAGUAGACAUGUCCAGCUUCCGAAGACAAAAUCACAGAAUUAUGGUGGAGCCCUCCCAUAGGAGGGGCACUAGAGGAUACUCAAGGAAGUUCUUCAGUACCCCUGCAAAGCAUUGACUUGACGGUCGUUGAACACAGUUUUAUUGGCCAGAGGAAAACAAAAAAGAGCCUUGCAUGUGGUGGUAAACUGAGCCCACCGAAGAUAACGUUCCAAGGAGGAACUAAAAGAAGCACUUGGCUCCUGCGGAGCCCCAGCCAGGCACAGCCUUCUGCUAUAUCCCCAGACCUCAGUUCUCCAUGAACUCUCUAUGCCCAGUGCCUUGUAUGCCCAUUUCCUUGAAGGGGUCCUGGAAGACUCUGCGGACACCACAGCCCAGCUAGAUGGAUUGAUUGGGAAUUUCUGGGUAGAAGUCACCUUGGGUUCAAAUGGAUCCUGCCUGCUUGCCAGAACAAAGAGGUAUCAUCUCCCAUGUCCAACUACUACUAGGGAGAAGGCCCUGUCUGGCUGCUCAGGCCAGAGAAAUUCAGCUGAAAUAGACAACAGAGAUCCUCUCGGUCAGAAGUUACAGUUGUUCUCAGAAGUGACUGUUGUCACAUGUUAUUUAUUGGGAUCCAAAGUGAGGUUUCCCUCAGCCACCAUGUCUGCUGCCUGGGUGAAUGAUCUUCCA
rnacentral:lncRNA from 1 species